rnacentral:rRNA from 1 species
UGGGGAAUUUUGGGACAAUGGGGGAAACCCUGAUCCAGCCAUCCCGCGUGUGCGAUGAAGGCCUUCGGGUUGUAAAGCACUUUUGGCAGGAAAGAAACGUCGCGGGUUAAUACCCCGCGAAACUGACGGUACCUGCAGAAUAAGCACCGGCUAACUACGUGCCAGCAGCCGCGGUAAUACGUAGGGUGCAAGCGUUAAUCGGAAUUACUGGGCGUAAAGCGUGCGCAGGCGGUUCGGAAAGAAAGAUGUGAAAUCCCAGAGCUUAACUUUGGAACUGCAUUUUUUAACUACCGGGCUAGAGUGUGUCAGAGGGAGGUGGAAUUCCGCGUGUAGCAGUGAAAUGCGUAGAUAUGCGGAGGAACACCGAUGGCGAAGGCAGCCUCCUGGGAUAACACUGACGCUCAUGCACGAAAGCGUGGGGGAGCAAACAGGAUUAGAUACCCUGGUAGUCCACGCCCUAAACGAUGUCAACUAGCUGUUGGGGCCUUCGGCCUUGGUAGC